UUAGAUACCCUGGUAGUCCACGCCCUAAACGAUGUCUACUAGUUGUCGGGUCUUAAUUGACUUGGUAACGCAGCUAACGCGUGAAGUAGACCGCCUGGGGAGUACGGUCGCAAGAUUAAAACUCAAAGGAAUUGACGGGGACCCGCACAAGCGGUGGAUGAUGUGGAUUAAUUCGAUGCAACGCGAAAAACCUUACCUACCCUUGACAUGUACAGAAUCCCGAAGAGAUUUGGGAGUGUUCGAAAGAAAACUGUAACACAGGUGCUGCAUGGCUGUCGUCAGCUCGUGUCGUGAGAUGUUGGGUUAAGUCCCGCAACGAGCGCAACCCUUGUCAUUAGUUGCUACGAAAGGGCACUCUAAUGAGACUGCCGGUGACAAACCGGAGGAAGGUGGGGAUGACGUCAAGUCCUCAUGGCCCUUAUGGGUAGGGCUUCACACGUCAUACAAUGGUACAUACAGAGGGCCGCCAACCCGCGAGGGGGAGCUAAUCCCAGAAAGUGUAUCGUAGUCCGGAUUGUAGUCUGCAACUCGACUACAUGAAGUUGGAAUCGCUAGUAAUCGCGGAUCAGCAUGUCGCGGUGAAUACGUUCCCGGGUCUUGUACACACCGCCCGUCACACCAUGGGAGCGGGUUUUACCAGAACGUAGGUA
rnacentral:rRNA from 1 species